UACCAGCACCCCGAGUGGUCGGGACGAUAUUGGCUAAGGCCAAUCCGUAGCCGGCCUUACAAGUCCUCCGUUAAAUCCAGCUGCUUAACAGAUGGGCUGCGGAGGAUACUAUAAGACUAGGAGGCAGGAGAGGCAAGCGGUACUCAGUGGGUAGGGGUAAAAUCCGUUGAUCCAUUGAAGACCACCAGUGGCGAAGGCGGCUUGCCAGAAUGCGCUCGACGGUGAGGGAUGAAAGCUGGGGGAGCAAACCGG
rnacentral:rRNA from 1 species